rnacentral:rRNA from 1 species
GGAUGAACGUUGGCGGCGUGCCUAAUACAUGCAAGUCGAACGAAGACUGUAGUAAUACUGUCUUAGUGGCGAACGGGUGAGUAACGCGUGGGUGACCUGCCCCGAAGUGUGGGAUAACAGUCCGAAAGGAUUGCUAAUACUGCAUAAUAUCCAAGAGAUUAGAUGCUUUUGGAUUAAAGGAGUAAUUCGCUUCGGGAGGGGCCCGCGUCCCAUCAGCUAGUUGGUAAGGUAAUGGCUUACCAAGGCGAUGACGGGUAGGGGACCUGAGAGGGUGGCCCCCCACAAUGGAACUGAAACACGGUCCAUACACCUACGGGUGGCAGCAGUAGGGAAUAUUAGUAAUGGGCGAAAGCCUGAACUAGCAACGCCGCGUGUGCGAAGAAGGCCUUCGGGUCGUAAAGCACUUUUUGAGAGGAUGAGGAAGGACGGUACUCUCAGAAUAAGUCUCGGCUAACUACGUGCCAGCAGCCGCGGUAACACGUAGGAGGCAAACGUUAUCCGGAUUUACUGGGCGUAAAGCGCGUGUAGGUGGUUUGGUAAGUAGGGCGUGAAAGCUCCUGGCUCAACUGGGAGAGGACGUUCUAAACUGCCAAGCUUGAGGAUGGUAGAGGGAGGUGGAAUUCCGGGUGUAGCGGUGGAAUGCGCAGAUAUCCGGAGGAACACCAGUGGCGAAGGCGGCCUCCUGGACCACUCCUGACACUCAGACGCGAAAGCUAGGGUAGCAAACGGGAUUAGAGACCCCGGUAGUCCUAGCCCUAAACGAUGUAGACUUGGCGUCGGUGGUUUAAUCGCCAUCGGUGUCGUAGCUAACGCGAUAAGUCUACCGCCUGGGGACUACGGCCGCAAGGUUAAAACUCAAAGGAAUUGACGGGUCCCCGCACAAGCAGCGGAGCGUGUGGUUUAAUUCGAUGCUACACGAAGAACCUUACCUGGGUUUGACAUAGAGGUAGUAGGGAAGCGAAAGCGGACCGACCCUUCGGGGAGCCUCUACAGGUGUUGCAUGGCUGUCGUCAGCUCGUGUCGUGAGAUGUUCGGUUAAGUCCCGCAACGAGCGCAACCCCUAUCUUUAAUUGCCAGCAUUCAGUUGGGCACUUUAAAGAGACUGCCGGUGUUAAACCGGAGGAAGGUGGGGAUGACGUCAAGUCCUCAUGGCCUUUAUGCUUAGGGCUACACACGUGCUACAAUGGGUGGUACAAAGAGCAGCUAACUCGCGAGAGCAAGCAAAUCUCAAAAAGCCAUCCUCAGUUCGGAUUGGAGUCUGCAACUCGACUCCAUGAAGUUGGAAUCGCUAGUAAUCGCGGAUCAGCACGCCGCGGUGAAUGCGUUCCCGGGCCU